rnacentral:rRNA from 1 species
UAAUACGGAGGGUGCAAGCGUUAAUCGGAAUUACUGGGCGUAAAGCGCACGCAGGCGGUCUGUCAAGUCGGAUGUGAAAUCCCCGGGCUCAACCUGGGAACUGCAUUCGAAACUGGCAGGCUUGAGUCUCGUAGAGGGGGGUAGAAUUCCAGGUGUAGCGGUGAAAUGCGUAGAGAUCUGGAGGAAUACCGGUGGCGAAGGCGGCCCCCUGGACGAAGACUGACGCUCAGGUGCGAAAGCGUGGGGAGCAAACAGGAUUAGAUACCCUGGUAGUCCACGCCGUAAACGAUGUCUAUUUGGAGGUUGUGCCCUUGAGGCGUGGCUUCCGGAGCUAACGCGUUAAAUAGACCGCCUGGGGAGUACGGCCGCAAGGUUAAAACUCAAAUGAAUUGACGGGGGCCCGCACAAGCGGUGGAGCAUGUGGUUUAAUUCGAUGCAACGCGAAGAACCUUACCUGGUCUUGACAUCCACGGAAGUUUUCAGAGAUGAGAAUGUGCCUUCGGGAACCGUGAGACAGGUGCUGCAUGGCUGUCGUCAGCUCGUGUUGUGAAAUGUUGGGUUAAGUCCCGCAACGAGCGCAACCCUUAUCCUUUGUUGCCAGCGGUUCGGCCGGGAACUCAAAGGAGACUGCCAGUGAUAAACUGGAGGAAGGUGGGGAUGACGUCAAGUCAUCAUGGCCCUUACGACCAGGGCUACACACGUGCUACAAUGGCAUAUACAAAGAGAAGCGACCUCGCGAGAGCAAGCGGACCUCAUAAAGUAUGUCGUAGUCCGGAUUGGAGUCUGCAACUCGACUCCAUGAAGUCGGAAUCGCUAGUAAUCGUGGAUCAGAAUGCUACGGUGAAUACGUUCCCGGGCCUUGUACACACCGCCCGUCACACCAUGGGAGUGGGUUGCAAAAGAAGUAGGUAGCUUAACCUUCGGGAGGGCGCUUACCACUUUGUGAUUCAUGACUGGGGUGAAGUCGUAACAAGGUAACCGUAGGGGAACCUGCGGUUGGAUCACCUCCUUACCUGAAAGAA